AGCGAACGCUGGCGGCAGGCUUAACACAUGCAAGUCGAGCGGGCGUAGCAAUACGUCAGCGGCAGACGGGUGAGUAACGCGUGGGAACAUACCUUUUGGUUCGGAACAACACAGGGAAACUUGUGCUAAUACCGGAUAAGCCCUUACGGGGAAAGAUUUAUCGCCGAAAGAUUGGCCCGCGUCUGAUUAGCUAGUUGGUGAGGUAACGGCUCACCAAGGCGACGAUCAGUAGCUGGUCUGAGAGGACGAUCAGCCACACUGGGACUGAGACACGGCCCAGACUCCUACGGGAGGCAGCAGUGGGGAAUCUUGCGCAAUGGGCGAAAGCCUGACGCAGCGACGCCGCGUGCGGGAAGAAGGCCUCGGUU
rnacentral:rRNA from 1 species